rnacentral:lncRNA from 8 species
CUCACCAUGAGAAGCAGGAUAUAAAGCUGAAUACCAUGCAGGUUCCAAAUAACACCUUCAUCAGAAAGUUUGAUGACUCAUAGAAACAGAAAGACCAAUUUAACACAUCUAAAUGAAUAAGGCCAGAUGCCUGAAAUAUGCAGGCCUAUUCUGUGACUGUGUCUGCCCGAACUAUGUCUGUUCUACCUCCACCCAGUCAGCUAAAUGGAGGCACUUGUUUAAUGCUGUGACUAUGAUCAGAUUUACAACCUCUAUAGUCUCUUUAUUAUUUACCUGUUUGUAAUGGAAUUCCAUAAAUACGAGUGUAUGAGUGAUCGAUUAUUUUUUUUAACAUGUUGCCACAAUUCCUGCAACUUCAAUUCGUUCAUCAUGACGCUAUCAGGUGCGGGUUUGGGAAAUCCCGGAUUGUAAUAACGCAUUUAUCAUUGACGGUCUACACCUUUAAGACGUCGAAACUGUGCGUACUGGGAGUGGGCAUAUGUUCAACUGUAAAAUCACAACAACACAUCGCAAUGGGGAGUAUGUGAAGAGGACUCUCUGCAAUGACCACUAGUUAUAGAAAAGCCAAGAACAACGACAUUUAUCUCAUCAACACUAAAAUAUCUGCCGGUAUCCUGCAUGCUGUACUGUUGUGGAAGCAAGGACAAGGAGAAGCAGCGCUCAGACGCUGCUGAUGUGUCGAGAAUUCUAGAGACAGAGAAAAACCGAAAGAACCGUGAAAGCGCAUCUCAACCAGUGGAAAUGUACGGAAUAGCGGGAAUACCCGAGUUUCUACCCCCCUCUGGCGUACUCCAGCCCAGCUCAGUAAUCCCACUCGAGUCUGGUGAGGUGCCUGGUUUGGGGAGUCGAUUCAACAGGGGUGUGCUGAGCUCUGACUCCCCCCAGCGGAGACGAGGCCAACGGGCCCCGAAGCUAGGGCAAAUAGGACGGUCGAAGAGAGUGGUGAUAGAGGAUGAGGACUUGGAUGACGUCAUGAACAACAAUGGCCUCCCCAUAUCAAUCAAUAUCUCUCCUGUUGCCUGAACACUGUCAGACUGUCCAGACCUCAAGAAGCUAUCGUGCUCAUUUGUGAAAUUCUGAAGCGAAUACCACUUGUUCCGGACCAUACCCAGUUCAGGUGCCCAUUGCAAAGUUUACAAUAGCAGCAUGCGCAUCACCUGUAGUUUAGCUCUUCCUGGGGGGAAGGUGGGUGUCCCAAGGAAGUAGAGAGAACACGGUGCAUCUCUGCUGCUGUUCUGGUUUUCAACAGGAGGGGAGCAAGUUGGAUAGAUUUGGAGCCAGACAGGCUGAAACAUAAGCACAUACGAGAAGGCCCUACCCAUCAAGACCUGCCCCUUAAAAAUGAGUUGACCUAUGCCUUUUCAUUGUUUCACAUAUUAUGUUGACAAAUACACUUUAUUUUAGCCUUUGAUGGUCGACAACACUGUCUCGUUUUGGUGCAAAUGAAGUGUCUGUAAAAUCUGUUCUAAAACAUGAUAGAUAGAUAGAUACACUGUAGACUUUCAUUUGUCAUGCAUGUCCUAAUUAGAAGCUUAGUAGGCCUAUACCCUGCCUGUGUUGUAAUGUAGUUUAUUUUUUACCCUUGAGCUCCUAGACGAAGGAGUUCUCACUGUGAACUAGUGAACUUCAAUGUAUCCCUGAAUAGAGGUGUAAAGACACCUUUUUUUUUUUUUUUAGAAUUAGCUUCUUGUCCAAUGUCCUUCACCAAUCACCAUAAUAAUCUAAUCUGGUCUAAAAAAAAAAAUCAUAUGACAUUCAGACAAGUUGCCUACCUCUGCUCUUGGUGUAUCAUUCAUUUUGGUGGUUCAUGUAAAACCCAGUUACGAAUCAGAACGAUGAAGUAGAUCGCAACACGGAGGAGAAGUUCGGUAUUUGGUGUAUGACUGAAGGAGCUGUGAGGAAUACAUUGUUUUAAUAUGGAACCAUUGGUCAGUUUGGCUCAGACUUUUUCCCGAUAGCUGUAAAGUUAUACAAUUAUUAUCACUAAAAGGGUUAGGACUACUUCAACUCCAGUUACAGUAAUUCAAUUCUCAUUAAAACAAAAAUAAAUUAUAUGCUUGAACUGAUACUAAAGUGGGUGUUUUUUUUUACACUUUGUAUGAAAGAGUCUGAUAAGUGGCAUGUAUUAUUGUAAAACCUUGAUUAUACUUCUUGGAAUGUGAUAUGCUGUUGUACAGUGAGAGUACCACCAGAUGGUGAUAAAGUCAAAGGAACACAGUGCUCUGCCCAGAACUUUUGUCUCACUCAACUAGUACAGACUUGUAAUUCAUUUGGAAUAAAACCUGUUUGGGUAGUCUUUGGAAAUGAACCUAUUUUUGGGUAGUCUUUGGAAAUGAACCUAAGUCACAAGAUCACUGUUGAAGACAAUGAGAACAUUUUUGGUUUGAGGAGAAGUGUUAUUUUGGUAGGCAACAUGUAGAUCUGAGAGAACUUUGUGGAUGUACCCUUCCCUAC